UACGGGGGGGGCAAGCGUUGUUCGGAAUUACUGGGCGUAAAGGGAUCGUAGGUGGCCAACUAAGUCAGACGUGAAAUCCCUCGGCUUAACCGGGGAACUGCGUCUGAUACUGGAUGGCUUGAGUUUGGGAGAGGGAUGCGGAAUUCCAGGUGUAGCGGUGAAAUGCGUAGAUAUCUGGAGGAACACCGGUGGCGAAGGCGGCAUCCUGGACCAACACUGACACUGAGGAGCGAAAGCCAGGGGAGCAAACGGG
rnacentral:rRNA from 1 species